UUACAGGAUGGAGAAAAAUAGCUUUACAGAGGGAGAAACAUGUGCUCAGGAGAGAGGGAAUACAAGACCAUAGUAUGAAUGCAAAAUAUGUUUGAGUUCAACAAUGUCAUGACAAUGGUGUAGUAUAGAAACUUACGGUAGGUGUAUCAUUUGACAAAAAUCUUUUUGUAAAAAGGAAUUGGUGUACUGUAUGACAGUAUGUAACCAUUCUAAUCGUAGUUGAUCUGUGUGCACACCCUGUUCCAUUUCUUUUUUAUUUGGGUCCGAUCGAAGAAUUAAUAUCUGUUGUUUUAUAUUUCCCUUGGUUUUGAUUGUGUUUUGUGGAUGGUUGUUGAAGAGCGUGCUCGUUUAACCAACCAGUGGAAAUACUAACAUAGGGUUGGCAUUCAUGACGGCAGCCAAACACUAUAAACUUAUCAUUACAAUGUCUGCUUCAAUCGGUACUGAAAGAAGAAUUAUUCUUCGAACUUUUGGAGCCGAGCUGGUUCUCACUGAUCCCGCUGAAGGGAUGAAGGGGGUUGUUCAGAAGGCAGAGGAGAUUUUGGGCUAAGACACCAAAUGCUUACAUGCUGCAGCAGUUAGAAAAUCCAGCCAACCCAAAGGUCCACAUAAGAUUCAAGGAAUAGGUGCUGGUUUUGUCUCAGGUGUUUUGCAAGUCAACAUUGUUGACGAAGUUAUUCAAGUAAUUUUUCCAAGCUUUGGAGAGAGGUAUCUGUCUUCUGUGCUAUUUGAAUCCGAGAGGAAGGAGGCAGAAAACAUGGUGGUGGAGGCCCGAUUUCCUAUUUCAAUCUAGCAUUUUGGUUUUUUACUGCUUAUCCUGGGCAUAAUUACAUGAUAGCCACUCAUUGCACAGCCUGAUUGUUCAUAUCAAAUUUAACAAAAAUAUAGAUAUUAUAUUUUGUUUGUUUGA